UCUUUAGUUAAGUUUUGUUUGCUUUCUAUUUCUUUUUGGUCUUUACUUUCAUCCUAUAUUAUUAUUAGUUAACUGGUUUCAAUUUCGUUCCUUGGGUUUGAGUUUCUUCUCCAAAACUUCUGGUUGAAUCAUGGAUAAGAGCAUGUUAGCUGGUUUGGAAUCACUUCUAGAAGCUGAUCAGCAAAGAAUGGCAUCCAUGAUGGAAUAGGUUCAAAUUUGUGACAGAUUCAAGCUGCAUUUUGAGCGGACGAAAUCAG